rnacentral:rRNA from 1 species
GAUGAACGCUGGCGGCGUGCCUAAUACAUGCAAGUCGAGCGAACAGACGAGGAGCUUGCUCCUUUGACGUUAGCGGCGGACGGGUGAGUAACACGUGGGUAACCUACCUAUAAGACUGGGAUAACUUCGGGAAACCGGAGCUAAUACCGGAUAACAUUUUGAACCGCAUGGUUCAAUAGUGAAAGAUGGCUUUGCUGUCACUUAUAGAUGGACCCGCGCCGUAUUAGCUAGUUGGUAAGGUAACGGCUUACCAAGGCAACGAUACGUAGCCGACCUGAGAGGGUGAUCGGCCACACUGGAACUGAGACACGGUCCAGACUCCUACGGGAGGCAGCAGUAGGGAAUCUUCCGCAAUGGGCGAAAGCCUGACGGAGCAACGCCGCGUGAGUGAAGAAGGUCUUCGGAUCGUAAAACUCUGUUAUUAGGGAAGAACAAAUGUGUAAGUAACUAUGCACGUCUUGACGGUACCUAAUCAGAAAGCCACGGCUAACUACGUG